CCCGCAGCGGCGGAAGCGCGGGUCUCGGCGGGAUGAGCGCUGACCCGCGCGUGCUUCUCGGAAAACCUUGGCCCCCGGGGGCCUGCCCCGCCGGCGCGCGGACUUGAAUGCGUGCUGGGAGCGGUCCGUGUCGCCGGCGGAGUGCGGGUUUUAACCCCACCGCCCCGUACCCCUCCCCGGCCGGCUUUUUUCACCAAGGGAUCCGCGUUAAGCGCCGGGCGCGGAGUCAGCAACCCGCGCCGCCACGGGAAACACGGAGUUUCUAAGACUGAGAACCAAGUGGUGGGGGAGGGGCUGGAAACCCCGGGCGAGCCCCCACGUGCUGCCACCCGCUUAGCCGCCGAGUUGCCGGGGCCUCGCGGGGCGAGGCACCUCCCCGAGCCCAGGGCCCGUGGGGCGUUCUCCGGUGUCGCUGUGGCCUCCUUGGGCGGGUCCCAGGAUGGGGCAACCCUGGCCCCCGGCUGGAAGUCAAGUUCAGGUUCACAGAGUGGUUGGUCUGAGGGCUACAUGAGCUCACAGAGGACGCUGCCUUGUAUUCCACCAUUCUUCUGCUCUCCUUGAGAGCAAGGGAGCAGCCUGCUGGUGACAUGUGUUGGUUUGGUUCUCAUUAUUGGACGUUCUCUUUUCUUCACUUCUCUUAUCCCUGCAUUCCUCAAUCUUGAUUCUACUCCAAGCAAUUUUCUCUCCGGAAAGGAAGCCCUGCCAGGCCAGUUUCAAGAGCCCAGGACAUUGUUUGUAUGUUGUUUUUGGCCACACCCACAGCAUGCAGACGUUCCUGGGCCAGGGAUCGAACCCAUGCCACAGCAGUAACAAUGCCAGAUCCUUAACCCACUGAGCCACCAGGGAACUCCACGAGUUCACAAAGCCUUUGAGGUCUUGCUGCAGGACCUUCAUAUCCUCCCUCUAUUGAAAUGGGCCAAACCACUCCCGGUUUCAGCCACUCUCUGCAGACUGGUUUGCCGGCUUCUGCCUGUUAUUCUGGUAGACGCCCAGUGGCCUCUCUGCGUUCUCCCACUUGGACACCAGUAGCGCACAAGCUGUGUGGCUUUAGCGGUUGGUCCCAUCUGUUUGUACUUUGGGGUUGACCAAGACACCUUGGCACUGAAUUAUCUGGCAAAUGUCACGCAUAAGGUUUUGUCUUUUCUAGCCAGUUGCUCUGCCUGUUGUUACUUGGGGAUUUGAGAAAAUCCGAAACUAUAUUCAAAGACACACGUCUCCCAGGAGCUCUCCCACUGUUUUCUUUUCAUAGCCUGAGAAAACUCCAUUUCCAGAGUGGUUAACUGAUGUGGUUACAGUCACACGGCUGGUGAAGGCUGAUGCCAGCAUUUGAAUCUGGGUUCUGAUUUCGAGCCCUUAUCUUUUUCUACUACAUUUUGUUUGAAAACUGCUUGUAUGGCAUUCCUAUCGUAGCUCAGCCAUACUAAAUCAGACUAGUAUCCAUGAGGACGCGGGUUCAAUCCCUGGCCUCGCUCAGUGGGUUAAGGAUCCGGCAUAGUCCCGUGCGCCGUAGUGUAGGCCGGCAGCUGUAGCUCCAGUUUGACUCUUAGUGCAGGAACUUCCAUAUGCUGCAGGUGCGACUGUAAAACGAAGAAUAUCAGCGUGUGGGCAGGGCUGUGCUCCGACUGAAACCUAUUGGGAAUCCUUCCUCCCCUCUUCCCAGCUCGGGGGCUCGGCAGCAACCCUUCGUCCCUUGGCUGGUGGCCAUGUCACACCAUCCCUCCUCCUUCCCAAGCCGUCUUCUUACGAGGACAGCAGUCCUGCCGGGUCAGGGCCCCGCUGUACCCCAGGCGGCCUCACCUCAGCCAGUUACACCUGCAGUGAUUCCAUUUCCAAAUAAGGCCACAUCCCGAGGUGGGGGUGGGACUUCAACUUGUCCCUGGGGACACAGUGCAACCCACUAUAGCGUGUCCCCCCCACCCACCGGGAGGUUACCUGUCUUUUUACUUUUUGCUUCAGGGGAGGGAUGGGACAGAGCAGAAGAGAAACCUAAAGUCAGUGGGGAUGCAGGCAUGAGGUCUUGGCCAGAAACAGCGCAGCGGGUUUCCCUGCAGGUUUGAGACGGUGUCUUCCUGAGCAGCACGGCCAGGGAGGCAGCACAGGCCCAGGAAGGGAGGGGCCCCGUGGUAUCUGACGAUGGAGAAGGUCACCCUCGCCUGGUGCCCUGGACCGAACGUAGCCAGGAAGCCACAGAGAACGCCAGGUCUGAAGGCCAUGCCCACCAGCCGGAGAGCAUGCCUUGGCCCUUUGGUGCCUCUGUCCCCAGCGCGGUGUAUGGAGCCUAGUAUGUUCACGGGAAAAGUCAGGCAUCUGAAGGAGCCUGGAUCCCAGGGUACAGGCCCUGUGUCCAUCACGUGAGCUGGGCAUAGAGACCUCAGCAUCCUUUAAACCAUGGAGAUCAGAAGCAUCAAAAUCACUUCCCAUGAAAGUGAAAUAAGGUUCCUAACCUGCCUGGCACUGGGAAGGCUUCGCAAACGACACUGCCUUUCUCCUCGCUCCCUCUCUGAGCCUCAGCUUCUUUUUUUUCCUCCUUUUUCUUUUUAUAGCCACAUAUGGAGGUUCCCAGGCUAGGGGUCGAAUCGGAGCUGCAGCUGAGGGCUACACCACAGCCACAGCAACAUCAGAUCUGAGGCGCAUCAGUGGGUGAACUACACAGCGGCUUGCAGCAAGGCCAGAUCUAUAACCCACUGAGCGAGGCCAGGGGUCAAACCCACAUCCUCACAGAGACAACAUCGGGUCCUUAACCCACUGAGCCACAAUGGGAAUUGCUACGUCUCAGUUUCUCAAUCUGUAAAAUGAAGAUAACAUUUUACCAUGAAGUAUUCUUUUAAGAGUCAAAAGAAAAUAGCACAUGUAAAAAAAAAAAAAAAAAAAAAAAAAA
rnacentral:lncRNA from 1 species